CAUAAUAUAAAAAUCAUAACUUUUAUUUUAAAAUUUUUUUCACUUACACAUUAAGAAUGAUUGAGAAAUUAAUAUUUUUGAAGGUUUUAGAUCAUGACAAAAAUAAAUCUUUAAAAGGUACUAGUUUGUUAUAACCUCACCAUUAUUAUUGAAUUACUGUGAUAAUAAUAGUAUAAAAUUGAAUAUUAAAUAACCUAUACAUUCAUUAUUUACUCAUAAAGCACAGGAAAAACUUACUAGGUUUAAUUUAGUUGUUUUAUAAAAAAUGUCAAAGACAAAAAUGACUGAACUGAUAAUUUUUUUAAGUGUUGCAGUUUAUAUUUUAAUUUAUCAGUGUUUAAAAAAUAAUUAUUAAGAUUUAUUCACCCAAAUACC